GCCAGAAAACAGCAACAUGAACCCCAACUAUCCUCAAGGUUACCCAGGUGCACCAGUUCCAGGUUAUCCUCAGGGUCCUGGAUAUCCCCAGGAUCCCAAUUGUCCACAGCAUGGUCAUGGCCCUGAACAUGGUCACCAUGAACAUGGUCAUCAUGGUCACCAUGGGCAUGGUCACCAUGGGCAUGGCCACCAUGAACAUGGCCAUCAUGAACAUGGCCACCAUAAACAUGGCCACCAUAAACAUGGUCAUGGUCAUGGUCAUGGAAAGCACUCUGGCAGUGGAAGUGAUUCAGAUGGUGAACAUAAGCACAAGCAUGGACACUGCUAAGAAAAGGAGCAAGAAAUCUCCUGGAAAAGUCUCUCAGAACUGGCGUACUAUGCAGAUUCCAGCAUGGAUUCCUUUUUCUUAAAUAAUUACAAGUCUGACAUAAAAGUUUUUUGGGAAAAUGUGUCGGCUGCAUCUUUUUUUUUAUGAUCACAUGUGUGGUUAAUAAAAUGCUGUGUAUCUGGUGUGGUGCUUGUAUG
rnacentral:lncRNA from 1 species